GAUGAAGAACGUAGCGAAAUGCGAUAAGUAGUGUGAAUUGCAGAAUUCAGUGAAUCAUCGAAUCUUUGAACGCACAUUGCGCCCCUUGGUAUUCCAUGGGGCAUGCCUGUUCGAGCGUCAUCUACACCCUCAAGCACGGCUUGUGUGUUGGGCCCCGUCCUCCGAUCCCGGGGGACGGGCCCGAAAGGCAGCGGCGGCACCGCGUCCGGUCCUCGAGCGUAUGGGGCUUUGUCACCCGCUCUGUAGGCCCGGCCGGCGCUUGCCGAUCAACCCAAAUUUUUAUCCAGGUUGACCUCGGAUCAGGUAGGGAUACCCGCUGAACUUAAGCAUAUCAAUAAGCGGAGGA
rnacentral:misc_RNA from 1 species